GAUAUCUAAAAUUUGCGUUAUCAUUUCCUCAUCGUUUUAUCAAUUAUAUUUUAUUGAUGAUAAAUCACGUUAUAUUAUCUAUACAUAAAAAAGACUUUAAACCUUGCAGAGAAGAAUUGCUUCAAUACGCCGCUGAGUUGUCCAUUUUCAUAAGUGGGAUUUUUCUUCCUAUGAAAAAAUAAAACUCAAAAUAAUAAACCUAUCGUGUUAAAAAUAUACAACUGUAUAUUAUUUCACGUACAUAAUUUUGUAAUUGCAAAUAUACGUUUAAAUUGGAAAAUCAAGAACUCGCGACAAAUAAAAAAAAUCUUGAAGAAAAAUUAAUUUGAUAAAAUAAUGUGCGAAGAAUAUCACGUCUGAUUUAUUUCUUAUCUAAUCGCAUCCUAUACAUGCUUGAACAAAAGAAGUAAUUUCAAAAUUUGUAUACUUUGGUGGUACGUGUUGACUUUCUAGAAUUAUCGGCGUGCUGUUUUGACGGAAAAUCGGCGGCGGCCGUUUUUGCACCGGAAGACUUCUCAAUCUAAUAAUGUUGUGAUGUGUCCUUUUCUUGGCCACGUCCCAUUCUUCCGUUGGUACCAAAAGAUCUGUGAGAAUGUAACUCCAGUACCUCGAUCCGGAUAAAGUUCUUCGGUGCCGUCUUAAAGGAGCUUCUUGAUGCCGUUAUCAAAGAUCUGCUGACCUACGUGCUGAUCUAACGCCGACAGUGGAUUGUCCUGCAAGCAAUUUUAGCGUUCUUAACCUCGUGGGAAAUUGAGAGCAUUGACCAUCAACGUGUUUUCGUCAGAUCCCCAGGUGAAAGUGCUAGGUGUAACUUUGAGGACAUACUCUUCUAGAUCUUUUUCGAAUACCGUAUCAAUUGAGG